rnacentral:lncRNA from 1 species
UCCGCAAUUCAUCAAUUUUCCACUCUGUUUCUUCACUGUGGAGAAUUUUAUGCACGUGAACUGUCCCAUAAGAUAGUGUGUUAGGCUCCUCUUUAUUUUUUUCGUUGAAUUUAUCCAUCGAUGAACACACAGAAUGCAUCACUGCACUCCUCAACUCAAGCAACCGAUGGAGUUCAAAUAAUUCAGAAGAUGUUUCUGCAUCACCAUCUUGAUUCUUAUUACCGGAGGAUCCAUCUUCUCGUUCUCCCUGAGAUUUGCUGACCUGUCUCUUCUAGCAUUUACAAGUAGAUUCCUCAUGUUCCAUUCUCAGAAUGCCCUCUAACUUUAGUCCCCCAGAAGUUACAGAAAUUUGUAAUAUCUCUCUUUGUUUAGAAUCUUGCUCGAUUUGGAU